rnacentral:tRNA from 1 species
GCACUAGUGUUCUAGUGGUAGAAUAGUACCCUGCCAUGAUAUAGAAUUGGGUUUGAUUCCCAGCUGUUGCA